rnacentral:lncRNA from 1 species
CCUCCUCGGCCUCACCAUUCCAGACCAAAAUUGAAAAAAUGGUUGACCUCACCCAGGUAAUGGAUGAUGAAGUAUUCAUGGCUUUUGCAUCCUAUGCAACAAUUAUUCUUUCAAAAAUGAUGCUUAUGAGUACUGCAACUGCAUUCUAUAGAUUGACAAGAAAGGUUUUUGCCAAUCCAGAAGACUGUGUAGCAUUUGGCAAAGGAGAAAAUGCCAAGAAGUAUCUUCGAACAGAUGACAGAUUAUCUUUUUCCACAGAGCCCACCUGAAUGACCUUGAAAAUAUUAUUCCAUUUCUUGGAAUUGGCCUCCUGUAUUCCUUGAGUGGUCCCGACCCCUCUACAGCCAUCCUGCACUUCAGACUAUUUGUCGGAGCACGGAUCUACCACACCAUUGCAUAUUUGACACCCCUUCCCCAGCCAAAUAGAGCUUUGAGUUUUUUUGUUGGAUAUGGAGUUACUCUUUCCAUGGCUUACAGGUUGCUGAAAAGUAAAUUGUACCUGUAAAGAAAAUCAUACAACUCAGCAUCCAGUUGGCUUUUUAAGAAUUCUGUACUUCCAAUUUAUAAUGAAUACUUUCUUAGAUUUUAGGUAGGAGGGGAGCAGAGGAAUUAUGAACUGGGGUAAACCCAUUUUGAAUAUUAGCAUUGCCAAUAUCCUGUAUUCUUGUUUUACAUUUGGAUUAGAAAUUUAACAUAGUAAUUCUUAAGUCUUUUGUCUGAUUUUUAAAGUACUUUCUUAUAAAUUUGGAUCAUGUUAUGAUUUGUAACAUUCACACAACACCUCACUUUUGAAUCUAUAAAAGAAUUGCACGUAUGAGAAACCUAUAUUUCAAUACUGCUGAAACAGACAUGAAAUAAAGAAUUUAAAGAAUG